UUUAUAGAACCUGCUUUUUCAUCCAGGUAAGCCAUUCUCAAGAGGCAGCCUGCAGAAGUGGAUCUUAUGAUCGAUUGCCUUGUUUCUUGCUUUCAUAUAAGCCCUCACAACAACCAACACCUUAAGUCUUUGUUUUUCUCUGGUCGGCAUUGGAUUGGUGCCUAAGAUUGAUGCUGUGUAUUGUCACUUGGUUGAACUUCGCACUAUGUGUGGUGAAACACUUCAUGAAGCAGUGCAAGGUUGCGGCGCUCACCCAGCAAUACGAAUGGCACCGAGAAUCCAAGAAAACAGUGGCUUGCUGAAACCCAAGGCAGUACAGCAGAAUUAAUUACAGGCCUCAUCCAACUGGUCCCUCAGCCACACAUGCCAGAGAUUGCCCGGGAAGCACUGGAGGUAAGUGGAAAAUGAAUUCCAGGUUCUUGAAGCAAAGGUUGUUACAUGUACAUUCAUGAUAUUCCUUUGGUGUGUGAUUUCUAUGAGUAAUAGGUGGAUGCCAUUUCUGGAAAUGGUAUGUUUAUGUCU
rnacentral:lncRNA from 1 species